rnacentral:rRNA from 1 species
ACCUAGGGGCGCAGCAGUAGGGAAUUUUCGUCAAUGGGCGCAAGCCUGAACGAGCAAUGCCGCGUGAACGAGGAAGGUCUUCGGAUCGUAAAGUUCUGUUGAAGGGGAAAAAGAGCGGAGAGAGGAAAUGGUCUCCGAUUGAUAUUACCCUUCGAGGAAGUCACGGCUAACUACGUGCCAGCAGCCGCGGUAAUACGGAGGAUGCGAGCGUUAUCCGGAUUUAUUGGGUUUAAAGGGUGCGUAGGCGGGUUAUCAAGUCAGCGGUAAAAUCGUGGAGCUCAACUCCAUCCAGCCGUUGAAACUGA